AUUCGACCUUCUCUUAACUCCGCAGAAUGCAGUUGAGAUGCAUAGAAAAAGUCUGGGACUACUUACACCUAUUUGCUAGCAUGUCUUCGAAGAAUGUUACUAGAGAGAAGCAGGUACAGCCUUGUGAUUAUUAUGCUUUGAACUUGAUGCUGUGCUGAACACAUAAAAGAGCCCUCAUGAUGAGAGAUUGGAAGGAGAAUGAAAGAAAGGGAGCAAGAUCAUCCAGAGAACCAUGAAGUAGUGACCUUCAGUGAUGAGGUCUGGCGUUCAUCGGCAUUCACACAUCUGCAGAAGGGGUAUGAGGGAGAAAUGACUUCAUUAAUUAUGUCACCAAGUUUUUCUUCUCUUGAUUCCUAAGAAGAAGAAACAGAGAUUACAUGUGUUUACUUAAGGGUAAGCACUAACUGAAUGCUUACUGAGUGGCUAGAUGAAUAUCUAAAAAAAAAAAAUGGUUUCUGUAGGCGUUGGAUUCUGUUCAAUGCUUAUGCCCACCCAGAAUGCUCUAUAAAACCUUCACUGUUGUUCUCAGGAUCAGCCUUCCUGAAUUCAUCCUAUAAACUUUUAAUGAGUGACCUAUUUGUAAAACUCCCUUCCAGAUUGGCAAAUACAAGUU
rnacentral:lncRNA from 1 species